rnacentral:rRNA from 1 species
UACAGAGGUCUCAAGCGUUGUUCGGAUUCAUUGGGCGUAAAGGGUGCGUAGGCGGCGGUGCAAGUCCGAUGUGAAAUACCGGGGCUCAACCCCGGAACUGCAUUGGAUACUGCAUUGCUAGAGUGCUGGAGAGGGAACUGGAAUUUACGGUGUAGCAGUGAAAUGCGUAGAGAUCGUAAGGAAGACCAGUGGCGAAGGCGAGUUCCUGGACAGUUACUGACGCUGAGGCACGAAGGCCAGGGGAGCAAACGGG